GAGGGGCAGACUGGCUCCGCCGCAGUGAGAGGGGCGGGGCAGGGGGAGCAAGGAGUGAAGGGGAAUCGACGCGGUGUCAGAGGAGACCCCCGAGGUGGGGGCAGCGGGUGGAGGACUCCCGGAGUGGACUAGUGGGGACCUCCGGGUGAGGUUCUGAAGACCCUGCUAGUAUGCUGGGAAUAAGAGAGGGGGGCCGAAGUAGGGAGAGGACAAGAGACCUGACAGGAAUAAGGGCAGCGCGCUCUCGGGAUGGAGGGAUGAAAAACUCUGCAGUCAUUAGGAUGAGGGGAGUCCUGCAUCUUAGGGGACACAGUGUUUUCCUAGUAUUUAGAGAGGCUCUCAGGAUAGCGGGGUGCAGAGACUGCAGCCUUCCGGAAUAGGGGGAGUAAGGUAAUCCUGAAUGAAGGCGUGGAUGCAAGAGGAUAGAGACGGGGCUCGUGACCGGAGGUACAGGGUUCUAGUUGCGCUAGAGGAGACUUCGGGAGAAGACUCAAGGAACUCUGCACCAGCUCUAGAAUAGGGGAGGAGAACAUGGAGUUGGGGAGGAUGGUGGGGCUACCCUGAAUCGGGAGACACUGCAGAGGAUGGAGAGAGGGAACCCCAGAUGGAAGGGAGGGGGGAAAGUGUUCUCCAAAAUGUGUACAGUGGCCCCCAGGGUAAGAGGAGGGAGACCCUGCUGCCAACCCCAGCAAGGGGGACCCUCGGUGAAGGAGGCAGAGAGUCACCUGAAUAGGCAGGAGGAAUCUGGGCUGAGUGUUAGGGGCAGAGAACCUAGGUGGGGGUGCAGUGAGGGACUGAGCAUGAAGUUGGGAGAGCUGGCCCCUGUGCAGGGUUGAGGGACGUGAUGGGUGUGCUAGAAGUCGCCCAAGCCGGGUUCUGCAGUUUGCUGGCUGAAUGACCUUGGACAAGCUGUGUCCUCCCUCUCUUGGUUUUCCCAUCUGUAGGAGGAGGGGUUCUUGCCCCAGGGACAGACUGCAAUUCCAAAUCCCAGACUGCACUAGGAAGUUCCACUUUGGAGAGUCUCUGGCUGAAUCAGGCGAGGGGAACCCCCAUAUUGCCUGCAGAUAUGGCACCUACUUUCCUACAACUAGAAAAUCCAUCUUCCUCCCUCCUCCUCCCCAUUUCCUCAGCUUCAACUUGUGAUCUCUUCCCCAACCCCCACAGCAAGGGUACAACCAGGGGUGCCUUGAUAGGCGUCCCUUCUUGCUCCCAGGGAAGUGGUGGGAAACUUUCUGAGCACCAAAGUCCGUUAUCCCCAUGACCCCCAGUCGGAGGUCAGGUAGACAAGGGGGUCCCUGUGAUCUGGGGUCCUUCCGCAACAGCUGCGUUAUUUGGCUCUUUCUUGGUUUGGGCUCAUGUUAGAUGCCUUUGGGAGUGGGGCUGGUGCUGCGGCUGGCGCUUCAGCACCAGGGAUAGGGCCUUCUCCUUUCUGGGGAGAAAGAGGUUAAGUUCUGCCUUCACCUUAGGGGGAGGGGUAGGAGGCAUGCCUGCACUCCCUGGCCUAGCCCCUGUGCUAUGCAGAUGGGAACUGAGGAAGGGUGGGUGAAUGAUCUCGCAGGGUCACCCGGUGAGCCAGGGACCCACCCCUGGACUUUCCAUUAGGGGUCCAGUUCUCUGUUUUCUAUGAAAUCUGUCCCCUUCCCCCCCACUGCGGACACACCUGGGCUGUCCCCUCCUCUACAGGGAACUGAAAGCAACUCCCAGGGAUGCCUGGACCCUUGAGACCCCUUGGGAGUCAUUGUAGACCCCUUCCCGGUCUGAUCCUCCUUUAAGCAGUUAGCAACCCCCACUACAUUCCCAGUUUACCCUUGUUUUCCUUCAGUGGGAUCUCCAGGAUGAGGACAGACAGAUUCCCCAGGAAAGACCUCUGCCAGUUCCUCUCUCUGCCUUCAGCCUCAUGCCCAGCCCCCUGGUUCUAAGCAGACCCUCAGGUCUUGGGAAGUCAUGGCGCUGUCCCUUUAACCACGUUUUACUGGAAGGAGAGUGUGCUGGGAGGAGGGAGGCAGGAAGGGAGUUUCUGGUUUUGCAUGAAGAAGCAGAACAUGAUGAAGCAUUUUUCCCCCAUUUAAAGAUCAAGUUGUGCUCCAGUUUGCAGAGGGCAGAGGGGCUGGCUUGCUGGUGGUACUGGGAGGAUGAAGAUUUGUCAUCAAACAAAUGACGGUUGAAACCGAGGCUUCAGGACUGCAGAAUCCAUUUCUCUGCCUCUGAGCAUCACGCCGGCAGCAGCGCCCCCUGCAGGCGGCAGCAGGCAUUCCCCUCCGCGCCGGAAAUGGCCGAACGCUUCCUCCAGCCUCCGAAGAUUGCCGAGGGCGCUAUUUCAAAGGCCCGGGCCUAGAGAAGCAGGGCGCGCCACCUUCGGACCCUAUUCAACCUUCUAGGCGGCCUUAAUCACCGCAGUGUCCCGUCAGUGGCGGCACCUCCAGGCCUGCGGAAAGGUGGCAGUGACCUUGACUGUUGUCUCUUCCUUUGUCCUGGGCACGUUCCAGUCUGCGGUGUGGCCGGACUGCGUGGGCAAACUGUCCAGAGCGCUGUGUGAGCUAAGGUGGGGGCCGCAUCCUCCCGGGCUCAGUGGGUCCUGCCUCUCCCGUGGGCAUCAGGCCCCGACGCCAGCUCUUCCCUUGUCAGCAUACAUCCAGGCCACGUCACACAGUUGCUCACGUGUCUGUGCAAGCUGGAUGGCUGCUCGCCUGGCUGUGGGGGGCAGCACCCCCACUGCCCAUCCUGCACGUGGCCGAGGCCCACCUAGACCCCUGGUCCUGCGGACUCCACAUCAGGCACGUGCACGAGAACCUGGACUUCAGGUAGGAGCCUGCCUACCUGCCCCUCCCCUGUGGCCAGCCUCUCCACAUCCUGCACGUGGGGAGACCCAGUGCUCCUGGUGCCAAUUCUCGUUGUUCUCCUUCAGAACCUUGAGAGGUGGACACCACCCCGGGGUGAUGGAGGUGGCUCAGGUAUGCUGAGCGCCCGCACCAUGUUGGGUCCUUUGCACGUCGGGAAGCCUUACUUGCAGCUUCACCGGGUAGGUUCUGUUAUUACCUCCACUUUACAGAUGGGGAAACUAAGGCAUGGAGAAGUAAGAGUCAUGGACCUAUGUCAUAGGACUUCAAAGUGGCAGAGGCUGUCUCUACUUGGUGGGGUGUGUGGGGCAGCUAGCAGCAGUUCAGUGUGGAGGGCAGACCAUCUUCAGUGGGGUGGGGUUGGCUCCAGGAGGGAUGGCAGAGGGAUGAGGCUGGAUGGGGGACAGGGCUGUGUUUGGAGAGACUGUGAAGCCACAGAGGGGACUUUGCACCUUGUCUGGGGUUCCUGGGAGCUGUGACACAGUUGUGAGCAAGAGAGGGAUGUAGCCAGAGCUCCAGUAAAGGGCUCCCUCCUUUGGCCUUGAAGGUGUGGAGGCCAGCGGCAGAGGAGCCAGGGAGGCAGGGUCCCCGUGAGCCUGGCCUGGUGCCUCUGCAGCGGGCAGGCCAGCGUGGCUAGAGGGAAGCGAGCCACCGGCAGUCAUCUAAGAUGUGGGUGGAGGGGACUAGAACCAGGUCCAGCACGGUAAAGAGUUAGGAUUUUACUUACCAUCCACAGGUGGUCACAGUCCCAGUGUCACCCCAGCAGAGCCCAGUAGAUACGAAUAAUGAUCAUGACAUGACGGCUACAAUGGGGAGCUUCCAUCAAACUUACUAUGUGCCAGGCACUGUUCCAAGCACUCAGAUUGUCUCAGUUAACCCUCCCAUAACCCUGCCUAGUAGGCCCGUGUAGUGUCCUCCAGUGAGGACAGAGGCACAGGGAGGUGAAGUGUGACUGGUCCGAGGCCACAGGGCUGGUCAGUGGCGGAGUCUGGGUUCAGGGCCACGCUCUCGCCACGCCCCUGUCUGCCUUGCUCGCUAGAUGGUACCAAUUACUUACCAAGGGCUCCCUCUGAGCUGCUGCAGCAGCAUCAGUCAGCCAAGUUGGCAGAAGAAACUAGAAAUUUAAAAGCAGAAAAUGAAAAACAACACAGAACAAUUGCAACAGAUCUUCAAGAUGCAGAAAGGUGGAGGAAUCUGCCGGCUGACCAGCGUGUGGGGAAACGCAGCGACCAGCGGUUCCUCGUUCAACCCUCCUUCCUCCCGGCUGUUCUCAGUGCUCAGGAUGUUGUGCUGUCGUGGCCCGUGUGAGACAGGGAGCACCGUUCCCGGGAGAAGAUGGUCGAGGAACCCACUGGCGCUGCUGCUACUACUACAGUGGCUUCCCCGAGAUGGCAACUCUGUGCAGCCCCACUGGACCCUUCUGCCACCACACACCUCACCUCCCUCCCAGCCCAGGUCAUACAGGUGGCUGCAGCUGGGGCCAGGGGGUUGGUGCGGACACAGGAGGUGGGUGCCACCAGUCCACCUCCCCCGAGCUGCACUCUGAGCCCACUGGUCUUUAUUCACUUAGCCCCUCACAGCACCAGACCCUGAGCUUCCAGCCACUAAGAUGGGAGCACACAGUGACAUGGGAGGGACAGGCACACACAGCUCCAGAUGCCUGUUAACAGCCAGGCUUUGAAAACAGCCUGACAGAUGCAGGUUCAGUUGCUCUAUCCCUUACUAACCCCGUCACCAAAGGGUUUGCCGAGCACCUAUUAUUAAAUCACACCCCGUCGUGAGUGGUGUGAUGAAAUCUCAAGCCAUCCAGUUCCAUCCCACUGGGGACAUGCAUCCUCCCUUUGCCCAGAGGAUCCACAUUGUCUACACUGCCCACCCACGAGUCACUUAGUAGCCGUGUCAGCUAUCAGACUGACUGUUCUAGCAUCAUAGUGCUCAUGUUCGAGUAACCGUUACUUAAUAAUGGCCCCAGAGUGCAAAGGUACUGAAGCUAGUAAUUCGGAUAUGCCAAAGGGAAGCCCUAACAUGCUUUCUUUGAAUGAAAAAGUGAAAGUUUUCAACUUAAUAAGGAGAGAGAAAUCAUAUGCUGAGGUUGCUGCGAUCCAUGAUUCACCUCUGUCCACCAAGAAGGCCUAGAAGCAAUCACACCCCAUAGCAAUGAGCACACCACACUCUCAGCUCUUGGUUUCUAACUAUCAUUCUCCACGAAAAGUAAGCAGGGGCUAUUUGGAAGAAUGGUUGACUUCCGUGCUACAGCAGGAAGCAUACAAGAUGAACCUGGACCUUUAGUACUUUUUAAGUACUUAAAAGGUACUGAAAAAUACUGAAGUAUGGAAGAUAAACCUGGAAAUACUUAAAAGAAAUGAUGAAGGCUUGUUGAAAGGAGCCAGCCAGAAGAAAUUCCCAAUGGUCAAAGCUGGAACAAAUGAGAGUGAAAAAAAUAAUGAUAGAGUUGGAUUAUAACUAAGAAUAAAAUAUUCAUGAGUUCAUAUGGAUAUAAAUAAAUAAUUGAGUAAAUGAAUUAAUGGGCAAGAAGAAGCAACUCUUACCUCCAGUAGAAUUACAAUUAGUAAAUGUAGAAGGAAUGAGGGAAAUAGAAAAUCAUCAUUAGGCAUACACCACAGUAAUAGUUGUUGCAGGCAAGAACCACUGAAGAAUGCUAAAAUUAGGGGACAAAAUAUGAUAAGGAAUAGGAUUUUUCAUAGUCUCGCAAUGUCUCCCCACAAGACAUUUAUUAGUUACAAAGCAAAUGUGACAACUUUACACUGGAGAAACAUGGCAGAUGCCACCUCAACAAAGUGACUAUUGUUGACAUCACAAGUAAUAAGAAAUCAGAUAUUGUGGCCAGACGUGGUGGCUCACACCUGUAAUCCUAGCAUUCUGGGAGGCCGAGGUGGGUAGAUUGUUUAAGCCCAGGA